GACAGAGGGUGCAAACGUUGUUCGGAAUUACUGGGCGUAAAGCGCGUGUAGGCUGUCUUGCAAGUCGGGUGUGAAAGCCCCGGGCUCAACCUGGGAAGUGCACUCGAAACUGCAAGACUUGAGUCCUGGAGAGGAAGGCGGAAUUCUCGGUGUAGAGGUGAAAUUCGUAGAUAUCGAGAGGAACACCGGUGGCGAAGGCGGCCUUCUGGACAGUGACUGACGCUGAGACGCGAAAGCGUGGGGAGCAAACAGG
rnacentral:rRNA from 1 species